CCCCGGCUCUCCGCCCCUCCGUGGGCAUGGCCUCGGCCUCCCUGAGUUCUGGGGAGAUGCCUCCCCCUUCCUGUCCCCCGGCACAGGGCGUGAGUCUUGGGAGACCUAAUCAGGGCUUCCUGAAAUCUGGGCUUUUCCCAGGCAGGCCGCGGGUGGCGGCUACAUCCUCAGUGAGGCUAUGGGGGUCACUUCCCAAGGAGGGGCCUGGGGGUGGCUUGGCCGCUGGCUCUUUUCUGCCCCACAUAGAAACCAGGUGAAUCUGCCCCGAUGUUCUCCCUCCAAACAAUUGUGCAAUUUCCUGGUGUCGGGUGUCCUGGGGCUGCCGUAACAAAGUACCACAGCGGGGGGGCUUGAAGCAACAGUUCUGGAGGCCAGAGUUGACAUCAGUGUCCCUGGGCUGAAGUCCAGUGUCACAAGGCUACGCUUCCUUGGAGGUCCUAGGGAAGGUCCUUCCUGCCUCCUCCAACUUCUGGGGACUCCAGGCACCCCUCGGCGGUGGCCACAUCACUCCAGUCUCUGCCCCCGCCUUCACACGGCCAUCUCCUUCUGCCUGUGUUAAUCGUCUUUUUCUUUUUUCAGUUUUUCUUAAGGCGAGCUUGUUUUUGUAGUAAAUACGCGUAACACAAACGUUGCCAUUUUAACCCUCUUUGCCGCCCUCUUUUAAGGACCUUGUGACGGCGUUUUGGGCCAGGAUGGCCUCCCCACUGCCACAUCUUUCCCUCACUCGCCUCUUUAGAACCCUGCACAGCAGGUCCCAGUCCCAGGCUGCGGAUUGGGACGGUCAAUCGGGAUGGUCACCCUUCGGCUGGUCUGAGAAGGGCCCUGGCGUGGACCCACGCUCUCUGGGUGGCCCUUUGCUCCCCUGCGGGCCCCACCUCUGUCCAGAGAAUCCAGGCCAGCGAGUAGGGGCUGGAGGAGCAGUACCCAGGGGCCGGGAUGCGUAGUGACCUUUGGCAUGGGGGACACCGCCUGGCCUGGUGCCACACCUCCCUUCAAAGGCACGACAGCACCACUAGGCACGGAAGAGGUCCUCCCCUCCCAAAGGUUCUACCUACUGAGGGACCCACUGAGGCUUGGAACGGGAUGGGGGUGAAGAUGCGGCCCUGGCCACAUGGCAAGCCACGGAAGCCAGGGGGAGCUCUGAGCUCAGACCCCUCCCCAGUGGCCACCCAAGACUGGGCUGGCUUUGCUCCCAGGGGGCUUCUGUCCCUGGGGGUCUGGCCUCAUCCAGGUCCCUAGAAGGGAUCUGAGACCCAGGGAGGCUCCAGAGGGUCCUGCAGGCUGGGAGUCUGCCCUGGGGGCUGCUGGCCCUGUGCCACGUAGUGGUGUGCAGAGGGGCUGGGAACAUCCACGCAGGCCCUCAGCUGCCCCUGCCCCUGCCCCAGCCCAGCCCCCAGCCCAGACAGCGUCCUGGCUCCUCCUGUCCCCUCCCCUCAUCCCCCUGCCCCCACGACUGCAGGCCUUUCCCCAGUCCUUUGCUGGCCCUUUUGUGGAUCAAGGUCAGGGGAGGAUGUGGGGGUCUCUUGCCCUGACAGGCCCCUCCGAGCCCCCACAGCCGUGGCUCCUGGGUGGUGGCUGGGGAGGCUGCUGCCCACCAACCCCUCUUCCUCCCCAGACCCCUAUCGCCCAGGUGGUUCCUCCUGCCGGACCUGGGCUCCCAGGGCAGACAGGAGGGGGCCUCUUUUCCGGCAUUUCGGCUUUCCAGCAUAUAUUCAAUCAACUUAGGACACACCCAGGCGAACCGCCCAGCAAAAGGACGGGGCUGUGCUGGAAACAGACUCUGUCCGCCUAGACCUGGCUGAGGGUCCCAAACCCAGCAAGGGCAGCCACAGCUCCAUGUGGGAACCUCCUUAGUGGCCCCUGGGCCCCCCCAGCUUUUGUGCUGUCCCAGAGUGACCCCUGCACCCUCCAAUGUGUGCAUCGGUGUCCUGGGGCUCAAUACCACAAACUGAGUGCCCAAAACUGCAGAGGUCUCUCCUCUCCGUUCCGGAGACCACAAUCCAAAAUCCUGGUGCUAGCAGGUCCACCCUCUCCCGCAGGCAAAGGGGGUCCUCCGCCGUCUCCAGCUCCUGGUGGCCCUGGGCUCGUGGCAGCGUCGCUCUGAUCUCUGCAUCUGUCCCGGCGUGGCUUCUUCUCUGUGUCUCUGGGUUUGUUCCUUCUCUUCGUAUGAGUCACUGGAUCUGAGCCCCUCAGUCCAGAAUGGCCUCACCUUGAGAUCCUCAACUAAUCACAUCUGCAAAGACCGUGUUUCUACAUAAGGCACAUUCUGGGGUUCUGGGAGGACAGGAAUCUUUCGGAGGCCCUGUUCAAACACUAUAGGGGACCUGGAGUACUCUCCACAGACCCCUUCUUCUGAAGUCCCCCCAGGCAGCUGUGUGGCCCUCGACAGGCCCCUCCCUUCUUAGGACUCCGUUUUCCUGUCUGUACAGGGAGGGGGUUGGGGAUUGAGCCACCAAGGGAUCCUGGGCUGGGUUUGUCAUGUGUCCACCACACACCCCCUCACGCAGCUGCCUCCUGUGGAGCGGGGGCAGGGACAGGCCCCGGCGCUGCUCCCACCAAGAUUAACCUCAGGAUCACAUGGGGGAGCCCAGCACCCGCUCUCAUCGGGGGAGGACCCUGUCAGAUCUGUUGUCUGCUAGAGGGAAGGUUCAGGGUCAUCCUUGAAGCCAGCGGUGGGGGGCCCAUCUGUGCCUGCAGGAGCCCAGGCUCUGGCUGGGCAGAGGAAGCUCCAAUCCAGGUGGGUGGCCGGGGCCUUCAGGUCGGGCCUCUCGGGGCAGCCCAGCCCAGCGCAUCUCAGCCCAGCCGACCCGGCCGGAGCUAGGGAUCCCAAUGAAAUACAUGACACACCUGGUGAGGUUUCAAUGUCGGAUGAAAAAUAAUCGUCUUCAGUAUAAGCACGUCCCCGAUAUUGGAUGGGAUACACUUCCACUGGGAAAUGAUUCACUGUUUAUCUGACAGUCAUAUUUAACCAGGCAUCCUGUGUUUGUAUUUGCUGACACUCAACUCGACCUCUGUUGCAUGACUGAAUGAAUGAAUGCCUGCAUACGUGGAGGAAGGAACAAGCAGACUGGCCACGCCCCUCGCCCAGCACUGGCCUGCCUGGAUCCUGCAGCUGGACGCGCCGGAUGAUGGAGACGGAACACUGGAGGGAGCGCAUUGGGAAUUACAACCUGAAGCCCAAACGGAUGGUGGCUUCCUGACGCGGAGGAUGCCAGCCCCUCCCACUGGGCAUCUGUGUUCUGUUUUACACUAAUGCGGGAGGAAUUUCAUUUUGUGU